AAAAUGUAAAAUAAAAUUUCAUGUAAUUAAAAUUAAGAGACCUACUGCCUCAUUCUCCCAAGUAGCUAGGACUACACGCAUAUACUACCAUGCUUAGCUAAUUUUUUAUUUCUUGUAGAGAUGGAGUCUUGCUCCAUUGCCCAGGCUGAUCUCAAACUCCUGGCCUCAAAAGAUCCUCCCACCUUGGCUUCCCAAAGCGCUGGGAUUAUCGAUGUGAGCGGUUGUGCCUGCCCCAUAGGUAUUCUUUAUCCUGCAGAGUUCCCAGCAUAACAUCAAGUAUGGAUCCUCAUCCCAUCUAGUCUGAAGCAGGGCUGAACUGGGCUACAGAGUGUCUGUCUUGAGCUGCAGAAACUUGACUCUGUGACUGGGACAGACAGUGCUGUCAAGAUAAAGCUUCCAAGGAUACAGCCUCUCCAGCACCUUAAAUUUAUCCAACAGACUUCUGCCAGUCUGUCUGAAAUAACAGAGCAGCUCCAGGAAGCAACAACAAUUAAAAAAAAAGGGGAAUCUGCUGGCAUCACCCCCAUCCAAACCAGGCUCAGGAAAUUUUCCAGGGCCAGGCAGCCUUUGUGGAAGCUAUGUAAGGACUGGAGAAACGCGUGUUCUUGUGCAAACAAACCCCAAAACAAAACAAGAGAUACUGUCUUUGGACUGGACUUUGUCCAGCCUGGAGUCACAGUGCCCGUCAAGAGCCACUCCAGAAUACUUGUACCUGGAUCUUCACUAGGGCCGGCCAGAGCAGAAUGCAGUGUUCUCAGGACUACAAAGCUGGGUCACCCACACAUGGUUGGACUUGAUAAGUAUCGUAACCUAACGAAGGAUGCCAUACUCUCCAGUGCCUGGGGGAGCCCCAGUGGGAAUGGAUCCAGAUGGUGCUGGGCCUGGGCCAAAAGAGAAAUGGGGGAGGACGGGUCCUUUCUCUCCUUUGUCCCUAACCUCCCCACAUCCUACUGCUGUCUGACUCAGAACUCUCAUGAAAAACCCAACUUCUUACACUGAUAUUUCCCAGAGGCCUAAUUGUGCAACAAGAAAUAAAAACGCAAUUAGAGAACUGAGGUCCAGCAGGAAAUUCACAUUACAUAAAUAAGACCUGGAGUGUGUAGGGGAGCGCCCCAACUCCCAGCCUUGUUAGUAUUGAAGGCUGCGAGCACACAGCUCAGGGAUCCUCUGAUUUGGUGGAUAACCCCUGUGAACAAUAGUUCUCUGAAAAGGGAUUUAGAGGAAAGAGACUUUAUUCCUGUAAACAGUUUUCAAACUAGGGAA
rnacentral:lncRNA from 1 species